rnacentral:rRNA from 1 species
AAAUGACGGUACCUGACUAAGAAGCACCGGCUAAAUACGUGCCAGCAGCCGCGGUAAUACGUAUGGUGCAAGCGUUAUCCGGAUUUACUGGGUGUAAAGGGAGCGUAGGUGGCAAGGCAAGCCAGAAGUGAAAACCCGGGGCUCAACCGCGGGAUUGCUUUUGGAACUGUCAUGCUAGAGUGCAGGAGGGGUGAGCGGAAUUCCUAGUGUAGCGGUGAAAUGCGUAGAUAUUAGGAGGAACACCGGAGGCGAAGGCGGCUCACUGGACUGUAACUGACACUGAGGCUCGAAAGCGUGGGGAGCAAACAGGAUUAGAUACCCUGGUAGUCCACGCGGUAAACGAUGAAUACUAGAUGUCGGGUAGCAUAGCUACUCGGUGUCGUCGCAAACGCAAUAAGUAUUCCACCUGGGGAGUACGUUCGCAAGAAUGAAACUCAAA